GACAGAGGGUGCAACGUUGUUCGGAUUUACUGGGCGUAAAGGCGCGUGUAGGCGGCUUUGCAAGUCGGAUGUGAAAUCCCACGGCUCAACCGUCGGAAGUGCAUCCGAAACUGCAUCGCUGGAGUCUCGGAGAGGAAGGUGGAAGUGCUUGGUGUAGAGGUGAAAUUCGUAGAUAUACAAGCAGAACACCUGCGGCGAAGGCGGCCUUCUGGACGAUGACUGACGCUGAGACGCGAAAGCGUGGGGAGCAAACAGG
rnacentral:rRNA from 1 species